rnacentral:rRNA from 1 species
AUUGAACGCUGGCGGCAGGCUUAACACGUGCAAGUCGAGCGGAGUGAUGGUGCUUGCACUAUCACUUAGCGGCGGACGGGUGAGUAAUGCUUAGGAAUCUGCCUAUUAGUGGGGGACAACAUCUCGAAAGGGAUGCUAAUACCGCAUACGUCCUACGGGAGAAAGCAGGGGAUCACUUGUGACCUUGCGCUAAUAGAUGAGCCUAAGUCGGAUUAGCUAGUUGGUGGGGUAAAGGCCUACCAAGGCGACGAUCUGUAGCGGGUCUGAGAGGAUGAUCGGCUACACUGGGCCUGGGACACGGCCCAGAUGCCUACGGGAGGCAGGAGUGGGGAAUAUUGGACAAUGGGGGGAACCCUGAUCCAGCAAUGCCGCGUGUGUGAAGAAGGCCUUAUGGUUGUAAAGCACGUUAAGCGAGGAGGAGGCUCUUAAGGUUAAUACCCUUGAUGAGUGGACGUUACUCGCAGAAUAAGCACCGGCUAACUCUGUGCCAGCCGCCGCGGUAAAAC